rnacentral:misc_RNA from 1 species
GAUGAAGAACGUAGCGAAAUGCGAUAAGUAAUGUGAAUUGCAGAAUUCAGUGAAUCAUCGAAUCUUUGAACGCACAUUGCGCCCCUUGGUAUUCCAUGGGGCAUGCCUGUUCGAGCGUCAUUUGUACCUUCAAGCUCUGCUUGGUGUUGGGUGUUUGUCUCGCCUCUGCGUGUAGACUCGCCUCAAAACAAUUGGCAGCCGGCGUAUUGAUUUCGGAGCGCAGUACAUCUCGCGCUUUGCACUCAUAACGGCGACGUCCAAAAGUACAUUUUUACACUCUUGACCUCGGAUCAGGUAGGGAUACCCGCUGAACUUAAGCAUAUCAAUAAGCGGAGGA